GGAUGGGGAAGUGAAGAAAGAGAUACACAAAAGUGGGUUAGAAAUUCAAGAGGGGUAUUAAGGGACACACAGGUGAAUAUGCAUUUUUCGGGGGGAAUGCAUCUUCAUCUGUGUAGCCAAAUAUCCUUGCAACGGCCCUGCCUAUAUAUGACUACAUAACCAAAUACUUAAGUUCAGUAGUAUCUGUGUAAAAAGUUCAGUUGUGCUUAGUCCUCUACCUUAUGUGCACUUAUGUAUGUUUCAUAAGUGCUCUUAGCAGUGUUGUAUGUUGGAUUUGUGCUGCCCUAAAAAUUUAAAUUUGCCCCCCCAAUUUGUUUCAAGGCCAUUUUUUUUGACUGACAGACACAUGCCCUCAUUGAAACCUGCACUGAUAUACACUCACUGACAGAUACAGUCAUUGGCACACACUGUUUAACCAACACACUCUUUCACUGACAGGCACACACUCUCAGAUACACAUAAAAUGAC